GAGCGAUCCCGGCCGAUACAUUUGAUUGUUCGAUAGAAGUCGUCCUCACCCGUUACGCCCUCUCGAUUGCCUCGAUGAUUAAAAGUAUCGCGACACUGCUUUAAUGCAUUGUCGGAGAUACCCGACUUGAAUUUGAGUAAAUUUCGUACUUGUACAAUGACGCAUUGGAGCCGUCUUCCGUUAAUAAAUACGAGCUAACGUUGCUAAUGCUAAAGCGGGUAGCAAUUGCCAGUUCAUACAAUGGAGACUAUUUCCUGUGUACGAGACGGCAACCUUGGUGACUGAUGACGGUCCACAGUUGUUUACAGAUCACUCUGAAAAGUGAUCCAAACCCAAAAUCGAUAUUUUUGACCAAAUGGCAAGUCAAGACGUAAACUGCAAAUUUCCAGAAGAGUCUCCAGCAAGCAGAGGCUACUUGGGCUACACUGGCACGAUGGAAUUAGAUACUCCUGCGGAGUGCGUUUUUACAUCAUUUUCUAAUAGCCGGUUGAGAAAAGAAGAUGACACUUUCAAAGCUGUCGUCACCGAGAAUGGUUUCACUGAGCCGUCUGACAAGAACACACUGUUUCUGUCAUACAUUGUUCCUGCAUGUUGGUGACAAGUAUAUGAUUGCUUGUGGUUAUUGGACCUGAGGCGACGAGAACAACAAAUCACGUGCUGCUUCAGCGCGACAUUAUCAUCCCAUCACACUGCAGCGUGCUCUGCUCACUUCACAUGGCUCUCCCCUACCCAGAUGCGUCAAUUCAACAAACCGGCUCACCUCACGGGUCAUCGAGGCUAUGCUGAAAUCCUGGCACGUCGCCCUGUUUGCUAUCUAGUAUUCUCGUGUCGGAUUGGAGGAUUCCGGGGUCGCCAUGGAGACAGAGUCACCCACAUGCCUCGUCAUAAGGAGCCUCUUGUCCAUGACAACACAGCUGUCUGCUUCGACCUUCAUUUGAUCUCAUCCCCGAAACGCCCCCCGGAAGUUAUACCUUCACUGCGCUUUACGCGGGUUGCUCCCCCUUUUCGGAGAUCAGUUAAAAUUCCCGUCAUUGGACCAAAUAUGGACAUUACCACCGCUACCGCUGCUGCCGUUGAGUCAGUCGGAGAAAUCUUGUUCUUGUCAGCGUGGGGUGUGACGCAAGUGCUGGAUAUAUAUGGUGUACACAAACACCUCCAAAUUGGAGUGUGCAAGGGAGAGGAAAUUGCAGCGCCCACUCUCACUCGUUGGCUCCACCUUCAAAUCACCUCUUGCGUUUCGUUCAAUGAAGAGCCAUCAAAUUAUUUCAGACUGCCGGUUGUCUCUCAGCUCAGUGCACAAGCCAAGGCAUUUUCAGUCG